ensembl:snRNA U6 U6 spliceosomal RNA
AUGCUUGUUUCAGCAGCAUUUAUACUAAAAUUGGAAUGACACAGCGGAGCUUAGCACGGUCCCGUGUAAGGAUGACAUGCAAAUUUGUGAACGUGUUCCAUAUCUUU